rnacentral:lncRNA from 13 species
AUGUACUUUUUUUCAUGGUGGUUUUUGGGAUUAAAUAUACUUGAAGAAAGUGCCAUUCAGCUGUGGAAUUGGGCAGUCACCAAACGUGUGGGAACAGCCAUAAAUGAGCACCAGAAAGCAAAAGUGCGUCAUGUUGCAUGCAGGCUGCUGUACUCCUGUGAAAAAUUAACAUUUUCUUUACAGAUGGCCAGCAAGACAGGAAGAACUUGGCUAGACUGUAAAAAGCCCCAGCUAGCUGAUAACUUCCUGAGCCUUGCUGUCAAAAGCUUGGAGACACUGUACAGCCGACUAACAUCCCGAGGCCAUGGAGGGGCAGACAUCAACACAUCAAAAGGAGAUGUGGAGAAGGACCUGCUUCGAGUUCUGUCUUACCAAGCUGAGUCGGCACUUGCUCAAGAGAAUCACCAAGAGGCUGUGGCCUGCAUGCAGCGCUGUAAAGACAUGCUACUGCGGCUCCCCAAAGAGACAGGCUAUCUCUCUCUCAUGUGCUAUAACUUUGGAGUGGAUUCCUACAAUAUGAAAAAGUAUGAGGAGAGUUCAUUCUGGUUGAGCCAGAGUUAUGACAUAGGGAAGAUGAAUAUAAAAUACUCCCCUGGCGCCAAGGUCCUGAGGCUCCUUGCCACUGUCUAUCUAAAGUGGGACUGUCAGCAGUUUCAGGAGAAGGCACUCAAUGCUGUGAACUUAGCCAAUAAGGAAAGUGUGCAUCCCUCUGGGCUCUACCUGAAGAUCAGAAUUCUACUGAGAUGUGGGGCUCAGGAUGACCACGUAAGAGCUGUGACAGAGCUGCUGGAGUCAGAGGUUCCUCUGGAAGUGUGUCUAAGCACAGUGAAACUACUCAUGGCUGAAGACAGAGAGACAUUGGCCUUUGACUACCUGAAGAGGGUGUGCCAGCACUUUGAGUCGUCCCCUGAACUGGGCAGUGCCCUGGUCCUGCACAUUGAGCUGCUGCUGCAGAGAGGCAAGGAGCUUCUGGGAAAACAGAAAAUAGAGGACAUCAUCACAGGCCACUACACUGGUAAACAGCUGUCUCCUCAGACUCUCACCUGUUUACAUCUCCUGCUCUGGGACAAAGCCUCCAAGAACUUUGAGACUAAGAACUUCUCAGAGGCUCUGCAGUGGUAUAACUACUCCUUGAGUUUCUACAAGGCUGGCCAGAUGGAGCCCAACCUGGCCAAGCUUCAGAGGAACAGAGCUUCCUGCUUACUGCAACUAGAGCAGCUGGACAAGGCCAAAGAAGCAAUAAAGGAGGCAGAGAGAUGUGAUCCAAACAGCAUCUUCACUCAGUUCAGUGUUUACAAGAUUGCUGUCCUGGAGAACAAUGUGGAGAAAGGUAACAGCAUAUUACAUGAGUGUGAACAGUCCCAAGCUCUUGAAUUGUUGAAGGAGAAAAUACCCAUCGUCCUCAUUGUCAUCCUUUGUUUCCUUUCCUUCCAGAAUGAGCAACAAGACACAGCCAUGAAGGCUCUGGAGAGUUUGUGUGAACACUCAAAAGAUGAAGCUCAGGUUCUCACUGCUCUCAGGUCAGUUACUAACCUGUCCCAGUUCUGCCCCCCGGACCGGGCCGUGUUGAUGGGCCAGAAGACGUGCCUGCUGAUGGCUGCUGCUGCCUCUCUGGAGCUCUGCAGGAAGUCUCCAAACUCUGACCAGUUGACACAAGCCCUGGAGCACAUUCAGAUCUGCUGGGAGGUCUGGAAGACUCUUAAAGCAUCAGGGGACAACUCCAAGGACCCAACCAACAUUUUGCUGCUGCUGUAUGAGUUUGAGGCUCGUGCCAAGCUCAACGACCCCAAGGUGGAGACAGUGCUGGAGUCAGUGCUGGAGCUGGAUAAUGUUGAGAUCAAGGUGUUGGAGACCAUGGCAGCCUUGGCCAUGGAGCCUCCUGCCCACUUCCCUCUGCUGUGUAAGAAGGCCUUGAGGAUCGCUCUGUCUCUGCACAGGAAACAACCACAAGCAGACCUGACCCGCUGCAGCCAGUGUGUCCACAGCCUGAUCCAGCUGUCGCUACCCAGCGGCGUGUCGGAUGUGGAGGCCCGUGUGCUGGAGGAGGUAUGGGGCUACUAUGAAGAGGCCCUGUCCAUCAUCACAGCCGACUUCCCUGAGAUGGAGAUCCUGUGGCUGCUGACCCGAGCCUGGAACACAGGCAUCCUGCUGUAUAGCCUGGCCCAGUACCCCGAGGCUGAGAGGUGGUGUGGCCUGGGCAUGAGCUUCCUCCGCCACCUGGGCUCCCUGCAGGAGAGCUACCAGACACAGAUGUCAGGUCUCUCUGCAGAGCACUUUUAA